rnacentral:rRNA from 1 species
CAGCAGCCGCGGUAAUACGGAGGGUGCGAGCGUUGUUCGGAAUUAUUGGGCGUAAAGCGCGUGUAGGCGGUUUUUUAAGUCUGAUGUGAAAGCCCUGGGCUCAACCCGGGAAGUGCAUUGGAAACUGGGAGACUUGAAUACGGGAGAGGGCAGUGGAAUUCCUGGUGUAGGAGUGAAAUCCGUAGAUAUCAGGAGGAACACCGGUGGCGAAGGCGGCUGCCUGGACCGAUAUUGACGCUGAGACGCGAAAGCGUGGGGAGCAAACAGGAUUAGAUACCCUGGUAGUCCACGCGGUAAACGAUGAGUACUAGGUGUCGCGGGUAUUGACCCCUGCGGUGCCGCAGCUAACGCAUUAAGUACUCCGCCUGGGAAGUACGGCCGCAAGGCUAAAACUCAAAGGAAUUGACGG